rnacentral:rRNA from 1 species
AUUGAACGCUGGCGGCAUGCUUUACACAUGCAAGUCGAACGGUAACAGGGAGCUUGCUCCGCUGACGAGUGGCGAACGGGUGAGUAAUGCAUCGGAACGUACCGUGUAAUGGGGGAUAACGUAGCGAAAGUUACGCUAAUACCGCAUACGCCCUGAGGGGGGAAAGUGGGGGACCGCAAGGCCUCACGUUAUACGAGCGGCCGAUGUCGGAUUAGCUAGUUGGUGGGGUAAAGGCCUACCAAGGCGACGAUCCGUAGCGGGUCUGAGAGGAUGAUCCGCCACACUGGGACUGAGACACGGCCCGGACUCCUACGGGAGGCAGCAGUGGGGAAUUUUGGACAAUGGGGGCAACCCUGAUCCAGCCAUGCCGCGUGAGUGAAGAAGGCCUC